UACGUAGGGCGCUAGCGUUGCCCGGAAUUACUGGGCGUAAAGCGCACGUAGGCGGCUUUCUAAGUCGGGGGUGAAAUCCUGGAGCUCAACUCCAGAACUGCCUUCGAUACUGGAAAGCUCGAGUCCGGGAGAGGUGAGUGGAACUGCGAGUGUAGAGGUGAAAUUCGUAGAUAUUCGCAAGAACACCAGUGGCGAAGGCGGCUCACUGGCCCGGUACUGACGCUGAGGUGCGAAAGCGUGGGGAGCAAACAGG
rnacentral:rRNA from 1 species